GUUAUAAGACGAGUCGGGAAAGUUUUUCGCUAAGGGAUCAGUCUAUGUUCCAUCAGUUAGUUGGUGAGGUAAUGGCUCACCAAGACUAUGACGGAUAUCUGGUUUGAGAGGAUGAUCAGACACACUGGAACUGAGACACGGUCCAGACUCCUACGGGAGGCAGCAGUGAGGAAUAUUGCACAAUGGAGGAAACUCUGAUGCAGCAACGCCGCGUGGAGGAUGACGCAUUUCGGUGUGUAAACUCCUUUUAUUAGGGAAGAUAAUGACGGUACCUACUGAAUAAGCACCGGCUAACUCCGUGCCAGCAGCCGCGGUAAUACGGAGGGUGCAAGCGUUACUCGGAAUCACUGGGCGUAAAGGGUGCGUAGGCUGGCUUCUAAGUCAGAUGUGAAAUCCAAUGGCUCAACCAUUGAACUGCAUUUGAAACUGGGAGCCUAGAGUUCAGAAGGGGCAGAUGGAAUUAGUGGUGUAGGGGUAAAAUCCGUAGAUAUCACUAGGAAUAUCAAAAGCGA
rnacentral:rRNA from 1 species